rnacentral:rRNA from 1 species
AUUGAACGCUGGCGGUAGGCCUAACACAUGCAAGUCGAACGAGUGGCGGACGGGUGAGUAAUGUCUGGGAAACUGCCUGAUGGAGGGGGAUAACUACUGGAAACGGUAGCUAAUACCGCAUACCAUCGGAUGUGCCCAGAUGGGAUUAGCUAGUAGGUGGGGUAAAGGCUCACCUAGGCGACGAUCCCUAGCUGGUCUGAGAGGAUGAACGGCCACACUGGAACUGAGAAACGGGCCAGACUCCAACGGGAGGCAGCAGUGGGGAAUAUUGCACAAUGGGCGCAAGCCGGAUGCAGCCAUGCCGCGUGUAUGAAGAAGGCCUUCGGGUUGUAAAGUACUUUCAGCGGGGAGGCGUUACCCGCAGAAGAAGCACCGGCUAACUACGUGCCAGCAGCCGCGGUAAUAC